AUUAGAUACCCUAUUAUUUUUAAUGUAAACAAAUUAAACUAGAGUAUUAGUAGCUAUGAUCUUUAAACUUAAAGAAUUUGGCGGUAUUAUAAUCUAUUUAGAGGAAUCUGUUAUGUAAUCGAUAGACCACGUUGAACCUUACUUAUAUUAUUUCUUGUAUACCGCUGUUUUUGAAUAUACUUUUAGGUUAUUUUCUUGAUAUAUAAUAAUAUAAUAUUUCAAGUCAAGGUGCAGUAAUAUAUAAGUUGAAUAAUGGAUUACAAUAAAUUUUAUUUAUAUGGAUUAUUUAUUGAAAUAUAAUUUGAAGGUGGAUUUAAUUGUAAUUUUUUAAAUAUUAUUAAAAUGAUAUUAGUUCUAUAAUAUGUACACAUCGCCCG
rnacentral:rRNA from 1 species